rnacentral:rRNA from 1 species
UACGGAGGGUGCAAGCGUUAUCCGGAUUACUGGGUUUAAAGGGAGCGUAGGUGGGUCGGUAAGUCAGUGGUGAAAUCUUCGAGCUUAACUCGGAAACUGCCAUUGAUACUAUCGAUCUUGAAUUAUCUGGAGGUAAGCGGAAUAUGUCAUGUAGCGGUGAAAUGCUUAGAUAUGACAUAGAACACCCAUGCGAAGGCAGCUUACUACGGAUAUAUUGACACUGAGGCUCGAAAGCGUGGGGAUCAAACAGG